ACGAGUUCCACUCUGACUGUUAGACAUUGGUACCUUAGAUAUUUGUUAACAGCAAUUCUACAAUAAUCCAUCGCUUCCCUGAUACAUAAACCUUGACUAAUUGUUAAUAAAAGUCUUCUUUAAUUUGAGAUAUUUUAGAAUGUACACAUUUCAAAUAAUUGCAUUUUGGUUACUAAAAUUAUCAUUUAAAAACCCUUCUGGAUACUAUAUCUAAUAAACAAUGUUUCUGUUCCAUUCCUUGCAAAGAAAUCUGUAAAAAAAGAAAAAAAAGAUCAGGUAACUAUGGAC